GCCAGUGGUUUCCCACUGAAACUAAGCAGGGUUAAGCCUGGCCAGUACUUGGAUGGGAGACCUCCUGGGGAAAAAUAAGGUUGCUGCUGGAA
rnacentral:rRNA from 1 species